GACGAACGCUGGCGGCGUGCCUAAUACAUGCAAGUAGAACGCUGAAGAGAGGAGCUUGCUCUUCUUGGAUGAGUUGCGAACGGGUGAGUAACGCGUAGGUAACCUGCCUUGUAGCGGGGGAUAACUAUUGGAAACGAUAGCUAAUACCGCAUAACAAUGGAUGACACAUGUCAUUUAUUUGAAAGGGGCAAUUGUUCCACUACAAGAUGGACCUGCGUUGUAUUAGCUAGUAGGUGAGGUAAUGGCUCACCUAGGCGACGAUACAUAGCCGACCUGAGAGGGUGAUCGGCCACACUGGGACUGAGACACGGCCCAGACUCCUACGGGAGGCAGCAGUAGGGAAUCUUCGGCAAUGGGGGCAACCCUGACCGAGCAACGACGCGUGAGUGCAGAAGGUUUUCGGAUCGUAAAGCUCUGUUGUAAGUCAAGAACGGGUGUGAGAGUGGAAAGUUCACACUGUGACGGUAGCUUACCAGAAAGGGACGGCUAACUACGUG
rnacentral:rRNA from 1 species